ensembl:misc_RNA Y_RNA Y RNA
GGUUGGUCCUAGUGCAGUGGUGUUUACAACUAAUUGAUCACAACCAGUUACAGAUUCCUUUGUUCCUUCUCCACUCCCACUGCUUCACUUGACCAGCCUUAA